GACGAACGCUGGCGGCGUGCUUAACACAUGCAAGUCGAACGGAAAGGCCCUGCUUUUGUGGGGUGCUCGAGUGGCGAACGGGUGAGUAACACGUGAGUAACCUGCCCUUGACUUUGGGAUAACUUCAGGAAACUGGGGCUAAUACCGGAUAGGAGCUCCUGCUGCAUGGUGGGGGUUGGAAAGUUUCGGCGGUUGGGGAUGGACUCGCGGCUUAUCAGUUUGUUGGUGGGAUAGUGGCUUACCAAGGCUUUGACGGGUAGCCGGCCUGAGAGGGUGACCGGCUACAUUGGGACUGAGUAGCGGCCCAGACUCAUACGGGAGGCAGCAGUGGGGAAUAUUGCACAAUGGGCGGAAGCCUGAUGCAGCAACGCCGCGUGCGGGAUACCGGCCUUCGGGUGGUAAACCGCUUUCGCCUGUGACGAAGCGUGAGUGACGGUAAUGGGGAAAGAAGCACCGGCGAGCUACGU
rnacentral:rRNA from 1 species